rnacentral:rRNA from 1 species
UUGUCGGCGACCGGCGCACGGGUGAGUAACGCGUAUCCAACCUUCCCUAUACUAGAGGAUAGCCCGGCGAAAGUCGGAUUAAUACUCUAUGUUGUUCUUUGCGGACAUCUAAUUUGAACCAAAGGUUUUUCCGGAUAGGAUGGGGAUGCGUCUGAUUAGGUAGUCGGCGGGGUAACGGCCCACCGAGCCAACGAUCAGUAGGGGUUCUGAGAGGAAGGUCCCCCACAUUGGAACUGAGACACGGUCCAAACUCCUACGGGAGGCAGCAGUGAGGAAUAUUGGUCAAUGGGCGAGAGCCUGAACCAGCCAAGUAGCCGUGCAGGAUGACGGCCCUAUGGGUUGUAAACUGCUUUUGUAUGGGAAUAAAGUGAGGGACGUGUCCCUUUUUGUAUGUACCAUAAGAAUAAGGACCGGCUAAUUCCGUGCCAGCCGCCGC